rnacentral:rRNA from 1 species
AUACGUAGGGGGCGAGCGUUGUCCGGAAUGAUUGGGCGUAAAGGGCGCGUAGGCGGCCCGGUAAGUCUGGAGUGAAAGUCCUGUUUUUAAGAUGGGAAUUGCUUUGGAUACUGUCGGGCUUGAGUGCAGGAGAGGUAAGUGGAAUUCCCAGUGUAGCGGUGAAAUGCGUAGAGAUUGGGAGGAACACCAGUGGCGUAGGCGACUUACUGGACUGUAACUGACGCUGAGGCGCGAAAGUGUGGGGAGCAAACAGGAUUAGAUACCCUGGUAGUCCACACUGUAAACGAUGAAUGCUAGGUGUAAGAGGUAUCGACCCCUUUUGUGCCGGAGUCAACACAAUAAGCAUUCCGCCUGGGGAGUACGGCCGCAAGGUUGAAACUCAAAUGAAUUGACGGGG